rnacentral:rRNA from 1 species
AUUGAACGCUGGCGGCAGGCCUAACACAUGCAAGUCGAGCGAGCGGCGGACGGGUGAGUAAUGUCUGUGAAACUGCCUGCUCGAGGGGGAUAACUACUGGAAACGGUAGCUAAUACCGCAUACCAUCAGAUGUCCCCAGAUGGUAUUAGCUGGUAGGUGGGGUAAUGGCUCACCUAGGCGACGAUCCCUAGCUGGUCUGAGAGGAUGACCAGCCACGCGGAGACGGGGACACGGUGCAGAGUCCUACGGGAGACAGGAGAAGGAAAUAUUGCACAAGGGGCACAAGCCUGAUGCGACCAUGCCGCGUGUGAGAAGAAGGCCAUCGGGUUGUAGAGCACUUUCAGCGGGGGGGCGUUACCCGCAGAAGAAGCACCGGCUAACUCCGUGCCAGCAGCCGCGGUAAUAC